GGAGAUGAAAAAUAAAAAUCUCCAUUCCUAUUGGUCAAAAAUCAUGACCAAUGGGCUUUGAGGAGGCUGCCCGAGGCCAUAUUAGGGAUUAGGGUUAGUUUCUCGAGGCCAUUCGAACUUUGAAGGCUAGGGUCAGAAGGUUUAGGUUUUUGAUUAAGGUUUUGGUGCAAGUUUUGUGUCAUUUGGGGUUUAUAUGAAGAAGUUAUAGGCGCUCAAAGUUAAGGUGUAAGUUUUCGACGUACUGUCACUCUUUUGAGCAUACCGCACGCGUACGGACGGCAAACGAGGAUCGGCGACCGGAUUUGAAGAGAGAACUUUUUCGGCUACAGUUUGUGCAUACUGUUUAUCGAAUUCCAAGCUUUUAUGAAGGAGAUAUUGGCAGUUGAAGUCAGCGCUUGAUAUCUAAGGGUAGUAAGUAGCCCGAAUUACUUGUGCUUGUGAUUUGAGCUAUAUCUUAGACAAUUUGACGAGGUUUUAGCUCAAAAUUUCCAAGAUUGAGUGCAAUCUUGUUAUAAAGCUUUCUAUACAAAUUUUGUGUGAUUUAGAGCUUGGGUUUAAGAGAUAUAAGGAAAAUAGUUUUCGGGUGCUUGUAAGUUAGGGUUUUGUGCACCUGCUAGGGUUUCUUAGAUGCCGAACGAUCGGUGAUUGAUGUACGGUUCAAUUUUGUUGUGGUAAAAGUUAAGUAUAGCAUCUAGCUUAUGUAGAAAUUUGAAACAAAGUGAACGGUUGGAUUAGCUUUUAUGAAUUUUCAAAGUCUGAUGUAAAAAGGUCCUUGGCGGGAAGAAAUAUAUUUUGAAGAAUUUAAAGAUAUUUUGAAUUUUUAUACAAAGCAAGGAGUUUGUUUUUGGGAGCUAAGGCAUU
rnacentral:lncRNA from 1 species